UACGGAGGGGGCAAGCGUUGUUCGGAAUUACUGGGCGUAAAGGGCGUGCAGGCGGUCUGUUAAGUGCAGGGUGAAAGCUCCCGGCUCAACUGGGAGAGGUCCUUGCAUACUGGCGGACUUGAGGGGGGUAGAGGAAAGUGGAAUUCCCGGUGUAGUGGUGAUAUGCGUAGAUAUCGGGAGGAACACCUGUGGCGAAGGCGGCUUUCUGGGCCCUACCUGACGCUGAGACGCGAAAGCGUGGGGAGCGAACCGG
rnacentral:rRNA from 1 species